UUGCAGAUCUGACACAGUGAUAGCAACAAACAAUCAGGGAAUUCCUCCAUGCCACAAGUAUCCCUUAUUUUAGGAGGGUUUUUUUGUUGCUUGUGAGAUCUUCCACAGAAUACCAAGCUUUGCACUGUUUUGGGAGAUCUAAGAGCAGACCCUGCCUGGGCCCUACCAGAAUGGCUUGUCAUUGAAAACCAAGAUUUCUUCCCAAUUUACCACCAUCGAGCUCAGGGUUGAAGGUAGUAAGCUUUUUGUAUUUAUAUAUAAAAUCCAUGCAUGAUUUCUCUCUCAAUCCAUCUGACAGUAACAAAUAACUCAGUAAUAAUUUCUUUUUCUAAAAAAAAAAAUCCAGAGGAAAAGAAAAGGAAAGUGAAUAAAAACAGACUUCUGGGGCAUUUCCCAUAUCACAAUCUCUGCCUCAAAUCCCUGUUAUCUGGGAAAGGACCUUCCUGUGUGGAAGAAGGUUUGGGCAGAAUUCAGACCUGAGCACCAUCUUCCUAAAAAUAGUAUCUUCCACCCUUCAUUUUCCCAGUGAGAGCUGUAUCCUGGGGUACCACUAGGUUCUUUCCAAAUACAUAUUACAAGGCAACAUCUCCACUGUAUGUUCCUGCCUGCUGGAAGAGUUCUCUCAGCUGCAGGGAGGAUGCUGCAAAUUGCCUGAAAAUGUUGAAGCAGCAUUCCCAACCGACUAGUCCCAUGUUAUGUUUCUCUACAAAUUUGGGGGAUUAUCAUUGGUUUUGGUGAGUUCUCCAGCUUCUGCAGCGGGAAAAGUUUCCCCUUGCCUUAGGAAGAGGAAAAGCUUCUACAAGCGUGAAUAAACCAACAGAGAAUUGCAGGAAGGGUUUUUUUUCCAAAUUACCCCAUAAAAUCCCUGCACUAUAUGUCACAGGUGCACAAGCUUUCAUAAAACAAGAGUCAGUACAGCAGCAGCUCUUGCACAUAACUUCCCCCUGCGCCCUGGCAUGGGCUGUGUGUUGUGUGGGUGCCCACACUGCUCUAGGAUCUCACUUUGCAGAGCAGCAUCAUGGAUCCCCCACUCCUGCCCACCCCCCAUCCUCAGCACUGCCACAGAGGAGACACUUACGUUUGAAAGAUCAGUCCUAAUAUGCCCAACCCAUAACAAUUUCAUUUCAGAGAAACAAGCUGGGAAACUGCAGAUAAAAGCCACUUCUAAAGAUCAUCCUCAAGAACACUCAGCCAGGGGACCAACUUGUGUGAAUCACUAGCAGAAAAUCAUGACCCAGUAGGGUCACUUCCCUGAUUAUUUUCUGGUAACUACAAAAUAAAAUGAAUUACAUUCUUUUUAUAUGAAGACUUUCAGGAUGCCUUACUGAGUUCUCAGCCCAUCAUCCUGCAAUCCCUCACCUCCAGCUUGGGCUCAGAGACUCCUGUGAAUCACCUCAGCAUGUCCAAAGUCUAUUUUGGCACCUAGAGCUCUAUUCUUCCACGUGCACACAAGCUCUGGCUGGUCACCAAAACACAUGUCAGAGAAUGGAAUAACCACCGUACAGGAUUAGAAAUGAGGAACAGAAGCCACAUCAACAGCCAAUUCUUCACAGACUACCAGCUGUCCACAAACAAGCCAAAGAAAAUCCUGCAUAUUGGAGAAGUGUUAGCACCAUCUAACAACAGCUCAUAUCAAACAGCUACAUAACUACAGUGUAUGUGGUACUAGAUAUAUCAAACCAAGACAAAUUAGUGCUCAGUUUUGAGGUUCUUCCCUGAAGUGGGUGGGAUAAGCUUUUCCUUUAGCUUUUGCUGUGUUUCAGUUCACUUGCCUCAUCCCGAUCCCGCCAGUUCUACUCCGCAAUCCCAUAAACCCCAGAUGAAACUCCAGAAAACAAUCAAUUAGAUAAAUAUAUUAUUUCUUACUCGAUACAAGUUACUGAUUCAUCUAAGUUUAUUCAAUAUGUUCAUGGUCCUCAUAGUAGUUUUGAUGACCCUCACUUUCACUUCAAUUUUAUAACAACAGAGAAAUCUUUAGCACUGUUUUAUGUUUCAUUGUGGGAAAAAAUUGAGUACUGUCAGUUUAAGGCAAUCUUAAAUCUUGACUGAAUUACUUUUGUCCUCUCUAAUUAUUACUUUACCAACAGAUACACUUCUGGCAUCCUCCUCCCAUUCAUGUUUCCUUAUGAUCACAUUCUAAAACCAGAUGCUAAUGAAUCAGAAUUUAUCUAGUUUCCAAUUUCACUAAUUAUUUAUCAGAUCAGCUAAAUCAGUUUCAUUUAGAAUUAUAGGCUUAGUUAUAUAACACAGACUUUUUUCUCUAUUAAAAAUGUUAAGCUGCCUAAAAGUAACUAAUAUACUAAAUUUUAAUCUCUGUUCAAGGUCCAAAUAUAUUAUUAAUAAGUGAUCUUAAAUUGACAAGAACAUGCUUAAUUCUAGACAUAUCCUUUUAAUUCAAAAUUAAUUAAACAAGAAUGGAAAAAGCAAAUUGCGUUAUUGAGUAUAACAGAACCUGCAAAAUCACACUAAAGCAUUUUAACAUUCCAGAGACAACACUGAAGCCAGCCUGGUUUUUUUAUCUUCAAAAAUGCUAUGAAAUAUGAACAUACUAAUCUUGACAACAAAUGAGACAAAAGUUAAGGUGCUGAAAGAUGCAUAGACCUUCGACUGCCAGAGGUUAGCUCCGGAGAUGGGAACGUUGCAGGUAUCAAGGAACAGCAUUAGUGUCAGAGCCUGGCAAGUAGGACACUGCACAGCGUGGUCACACCAGCUCUGGGAAGGGGCCAGCUCCAUUGCUUGUUGCACACACUUCCUUAAUUAGAUCCUGAGAACCUUAAAACAUUGUUUUUUAAAAAGUGUGUUUGCAUUAUUGAAAGAAAAUUAUCUUCCCCUGUGACAAAUAAUAUGGGACAUCUGCUCUUCACAGGUGUGCUCCCAGCCUUAAAACCACAACUGAGCCUUUCCCCAAAUAACUCCUGCUGCAUUUAUCACCUGCCCUUACAUUUUCCAAUCUUCCGCACAUGGGAAGGCAGACUAAAUAACCACAAUAACAUCUUCUGAUACCAUGUCUUUGAAGCAACAUCAUUCCACCCUUACAGGUUUCCUAAAUCUGAGGCAGCUCUGCAGAGAAUGAGCGGGUACGGUGUGCAACUGGGGAGUGAAGCUCCUCGGCUCAAGAGGGAGCAGCUCGUGCUGUUAGGAGUCUCCAGCCUUGCUCCCAUGCCGUGCAUCACUCAUACCCAAGCAUGAUUUCUUCCCGAGGCAAAAUCACACCACUUGCUCUUUGCAGAUUAGCACUUGGCUGUUCAAUCCGUAUUUCUCUGCUUCAGAUCACCAAGCAACACCAAGUACUUUAGGUCUUUCAGUCAUCCUAAAUCCCAUCACUAUUAACAAGAGAAACACACUGUUGUUUUUUUGGUUUUGUGGACCAUUUUUCUAGCAUGAGGAUUUUGGGGCAUUUCAGCAAAGUGGAAAAGAACGGAGCAAUGACAUUAUUUUUGUCCCAUUUCCAGGCAGAGAGCCAGUUCUCAGAAUUUUUCUGAGAAGCCAAUUGAUUCAUGCUUGUCUCAAGUCCCAGCAUCCUUAUGAAAAGCUGUCAGAGGGCAGCCAAAAUCGUACAAUUGCUUCACCUACUGCCAAACACUGAGAUAAAAGGCCGCUCUGUUUCAAUCAUAAACAAAACCAGGGAACUGUCACAGAGCAAACAGCCUUCCCCGAAAUUCAUAUUGCACCCAGAAGUUCACCAAUCAGUUAGUCAUUGCUGUAAAUCAACAUGACUAAUAAGGUCAUCUCCGCAUCUUACUGAAACUGAUGCUUUUCUGCCUAUGGGUUGGUUUGACCCAAGGCAACACUGGUGAACUGCACAGCAGGGUGGAGAGUCAUGUUGAAGAAACCUCCCCACAAGUUCCUCAGCAGGUCUUGCUUUAAGCCAGGCUUGAAGGUGUCCUGUGGCUAAUACUGCCAAGUUUCCACUUACAUACCUGGUCAGUGGCAGGAGCCGUGCAAGCUGCCAAAAUGGGAGGGGAAGAAAGAGCAAAAUGGAGAACACCACAGCCUGCGUUUCUUUUGGCUUUGCAGUCUUAGAAACCAGCUUGUGUCAGAUACAGAGAGAAAUGGGACUAUAAUUUAGACGUGUUCCUUCUUUAGGUGAACUAACUCACCUGCUCAUAUUUCAAAGCAUCCUUAAGAUGCCAAUAUAUUGGUAUAUCUUCACAGGAAAAAUUCUACAGAAAGACCGAUAGCUAAUUUAGCAGGACUCCUUCAUUACAAGUGCUUACACAGCAACUCAAUUAUCCGCAGACUCUCAGACAACCUUUCAGCCACACAAUGUCUGUACAACACUUAUAUUCACUUUACAAGUAGAUAAAUCAAGACCUACUGUCUUGGAAAUAAAAUCUGAGAGCAGCAGUAGAGCAAACAAUGUACCCCAGCUGGGUUCAUCCCUGAUUUCUCACUACAGAAAGCCUGAACUGCACACACUCAAAGUUUUCAAGCUUUUUUUCUCAGCCAUGAGAGCAAAGCACACCCUUCUGUAUAAACCAGAACUCUUUGAUAACCACUCUGUUUGCCAGACUACAAGCAGUAACAGAAAGGCAGAAAAUAGAGAGAGAUUAUAAAAUUAAGAUAGUCGGGAACGUAUUUCACAGAACUUUCAUGCUUCAGUGCUGUUCCAUCAGAUACCUGAGGGAAAGCAUGACUUUGGGCAUGUUUUGGACUGGCUAUUCAUCAUGCCUGAAAUUCAUCUCUUGGAAGUAAGCUGUAUCAGUUCACCCACCCAGCUUUUUCUUUUUUUUUUUUUCCAGUUGAAUUAGUUUACUAAUGGGUUUAGUGAAGGCAAGAACUAAUGCAAGAGAAGUGCUGGGAACAUACAGCCCUGAGUGAAAGCAUGGUGGAGAAACCUGAGCAGGACCACUCCUUUCAAGAGCAGUUAGAUGCUCAGCAGUUAGUUGAGCAGAGGAGCUCAACUUAUCUUAUGCAACUUUAAUGUAACUUGAGUUUCAUUGCUGUUCUAUGCAACCAACAUGGAAAUAUAUUCUUCACAGUUGCCUGGCACAGCCUAAGCUAGAUGCCUGAAUUUCAGCAACAUGAGAAUGCCUGAAAACCACAUGAUGGCUCACGGACCAUUUCUGUUGUGAAUUUAAAGCAAUUGUAAUGUCUGAGACAGUUCUUCAAUGCUCAUAACUGAAUUCAAAUUAAAAGCAACAACCAAGAGACACAAGCCUGAGCAUCUCUGCCUGAGGCAGAAGAAUUGAUAUAUUAACUAAAGGAUAAGGUGGAACACAUCGUACCUCAGGAAAUGCAUUUGCUCCAGAACACAUUGAGACUGUCAACAAUUUGGCUUGGAUGUUUACAGCACAGUACACAAAAGAAAAUCAUUACCAUGCCACAG